CGUGUAGGCGGGCAAUCAAGUCAGAUGUAAAAGGCGACGGCUUAACCGUAGUAUGUCAUCUGAUACUGGUUGUCUUGAGUUCGAGAGAGGGUGGUGGAAUUCCCGGUGUAGCGGUGAAAUGCGUAGAUAUCGGGAAGAACACCUGAAGCGAAGGCGGCCACCUGGAUCGACACUGACGCUGAGGCGCGAAAGCGUGGGUAGCGAAAACA
rnacentral:rRNA from 1 species